GAUGAACGCUAGCGGGAGGCCUAACACAUGCAAGCCGAGCGGUAUUGUUUCUUCGGAAAUGAGAGAGCGGCGUACGGGUGCGUAACACGUGUGCAACCUGCCUUUAUCUGGGGGAUAGCCUUUCGAAAGGAAGAUUAAUACUCCAUAAUAUAUUAAACGGCAUCGUUUAAUAUUGAAAGCUCCGGCGGAUAGAGAUGGGCACGCGCAAGAUUAGCUAGUUGGUGAGGUAACGGCUCACCAAGGCGAUGAUCUUUAGGGGGCCUGAGAGGGUGAUCCCCCACACUGGUACUGAGACACGGACCAGACUCAUACGGGAGGCAGCAGUGAGGAAUAUUGGUCAAUGGGUGAAAGCCUGAACCAGCCAUCCCGCGUGAAGGAAGACUGCCCUAGGGGUUGUAAACUUCUUUUGUAUAGGGAUAAACCUACCCUCGAGAGGGUAGCUGAAGGUACUAGACGAAUAAGCACCGGCUAACUCCGUG
rnacentral:rRNA from 1 species